CCUACGGGUGGCUGCAGUGAGGCAUAUUGGUCAAUGGCCGCAGGGCUGAACCAGCCAAGUCGCGUGAGGGAUGACUGUCCUAUGGAUUGUAAACCUCUUUUGUCGGGGAGCAACAGACGCCACGCUUGGCGUUCCGCGAGUACCCGAAGAAAAAGCAUCGGCUAACUCCGUUCCAGCAGCCGCGGUAAUACGGAGGAUGCGAGCGUUAUCCGGAUUUAUUGGGUUUACAGGUUGCGCAGGCGGAAUAUCAAGUCAGCGGUAAAAUUAAGAGGCUCAACCUCUUCGAGCCGUUGAAACUGGUGUUCUUGAGUGAGUGAGAAGUAUGCGGAAUGCGUGGUGUAGCGGUGAAAUGCAUAGAUAUCACGCAGAACUCCGAUUGCGAAGGCAGCAUACCGGCGCUCAACUGACGCUCAUGCACGAAAGUGGGGGUAUCGAACAGGAUUAGAUACCCGUGUAGUC
rnacentral:rRNA from 1 species